AUUGAACGCUGGCGGCAGGCCUAACACAUGCAAGUCGAACGAGUGGCGGACGGGUGAGUAAUGUAUGGGGAACUGCCUGCUGGAGGGGGAUAACUACUGGAAACGGUAGCUAAUACCGCAUACAAUCAGAUGUGCCCAUAUGGGCUUAGCUGUUUGGGGGGGUAACGGCUCACCAAGGCGACGAUCCCUAGCUGGUCUGAGAGGAUGACCAGCCACACUGGCACUGUGACACGGUCCAGACUCCUACGGGAGGCAGGAGUGGGGAAGAUGGCACAAUGGGCGCAAGCCUGAUGCAGCCAUGCCGCGUGUAUGAAGAAGGCCUUAGGGUUGUAAAGUACUUUCAGCGGGGAGGCGUUACCCGCAGAAGAAGCACCGGCUAACUCCGUGCCAGCAGCCGCGGUAAUAC
rnacentral:rRNA from 1 species